UUGUUCCUAUUAGAGCAUAACAAAAAAAUAUCACAAGUGAAUUCUUUAUUUUUUGAAAUUUUUUAUUUUUAUUUUUUUUUUAAAUUAAUAUCCCCAAGUCGCCUCACACCGGACCCAAUAGCUCAGAGCAUGGACAUCAUCAUCAUCAGGAGUCUAAGCAUCCCUCUAUGUUUUCUAUCUACUCUCUGUCGAUCUCCAGGUAACAAUUUCUCAAUUGCUCUCGUGUUUUCUCGCUCUGUAAGUCCUAGUUUUUUUUUUCCUCUGCAGCUUCUAGUGCUUUUUUAUUUGUUUUUUUCUCCACUUAUUUGAUACACAAGCCCAUGAAUCCUUGCUGCUCUUUUGUUGAAACCCCUCUAAUGGGUUUGUGAAAGUGGGGGUCUUUAUUUGCUUGGUAAUUGGUGUGUAGUUCAACUAUGGCGUUGAUUUGAGGAUAUUUUGAAGAUCUAGUGAAGAUUCAUAAAAAAUUUCUGGUAAUUUUUAUUUGUAGCUUCUUGUUUUGGUGGAGGGUAUUCGUCCUUUUUGUGAUUUAUUUUGUGGGUGUCAGCCAAAUCACAAUUUUGCCCAAUUACAAGCUCCAUUUCCUCUGUAUUUUUCCUAACAUUUCUCUCUGUGUUGGGUUCCUUGCUCUGUUUUUUAUUCAUGGGUAUUGUUUGCAGUUGUUCUUUGUUACAAUUAGAUAGAUAUGCUUUAGAGCUGAGUUUGAGUCCGAUCCCGGGGUCUUUUCAUUAGGCAUGUAAUUCUUGGAUUGAUCAUAACCGUUAGUUAACAUCUGUAAGACGGUCCAUUUUCAGUGCCUACCCUCUACUUGUAAUAAAGAGAAGAGAGAUAUAUGUGGCUUUAAAGCUCACUUUAAAUUUACAACAUGCCUGUAAGGUAUUUGAUAAAAUCGCCAUGAAAAACCGGUUUUUUAAUUUAUUAGGAACAGGGUAAAUAUUAGGUAUG
rnacentral:lncRNA from 1 species